UAGAAGCGCGGAAGUAUCAUCGAUACUUCACUCAAAAAAAAAAAACAAAAAAACCGCGAAGUAGUGAAUCCGCGAUAUAUGAACCGCGAAGUAGCGAGGGAACACUGUAACUGGGUAAACCUACGGGGCAAAUACGGAUAGAAAGUGCUCGUUUGUCAAGAUGAUUAGUUAGACCUUCACUUCUUUCUCAUCUUCUCUAGAUAUUACGACUUGCGAGAGAGGUAAAAUCACCGCAAAAUAUUAUGUCUUCACUGUUCAGAUUCAAACUUAUGCUGUUGCUGUCAGACACUACAAUACUAUGUCUGGCAGGCUGACUGACACAUCCCCUCCCAGACUUGUGCCUGCUAGCAGGAACACUGAGUCACAACGUGAGACAGCCGUAGACAGAACGUAGCUCCGAGCACAGACUUUGUCCUUAGUCAACAGCUGCUGGUUGGCGAUGACUCGUCGCGCCCUUCUCUCAAACUGCUCUCUCUUUUUCUUCUCCCCUCAACCUCUUGUCCUCCCUUUGUAUAUCUCCCGGUAGGGGUAAUGUGCCAUGUUUCCAGGAUGUCCUAUAAACACAGAUGGGACAACACAGACAGCGGUUCACGUGCUCUAGCCCAGAUGUCAACAAAUCACGUGCAGUCCGCAGGUUGCGAGACUCACCAUGACCAGAGCUCGUGCUCACCUGUGUGCAAGCUACGAAAAGACUUCUCGCCAGGUCAAUUCUGUGCAGAGCUGCACGACUGUAAAGCAUCAAACUACACUUUCUAGCAAAGAUAACAGGUUUGGUAAACCAGCUUUUAAAACCAGGUCAGGUCAGCCCAUAAGGUUAUUCCCAUUCCUUCCUUUUCCACCAACCUCACUCCUUGCUUCCCACACCAUAUACUUCAUCAAUUAUCUUCUUUAAUCCCAGACAAAUUCUUUUUCCCUCUUGUCAUCAUUUCAUCAUUUCCAACCUCUUCCCUUCCCACAAACCUUCCAAUAGCCUCCCUAUUUUGCCCUUCUACACAUUUCCUUCACACCAAUUUCCAAACCUUCUCAACUUUUCACCUCUACCUCUCACACUUUGUUACCAUCCAACUCCCUCUCUCUCCUUCCCUUACAAAUCCAACUUUACCCCUUUCUCCACCCCUUUAUUACCUUUUCCUUUCCAUCAAACCUUUCCUAUCUCUUCCUUCCACUUACCACCCCUUCAUUCACCUUCUCUUCCUUCUCAACCCUUACUGCCUUCCAACCUUCCCGACGAGACGGACAAGUGGUGCUCAUGGCAGUUACGGAGUGUGCAACGCUUCACCAUCAGCAUCUGUCUGGUCGCAGACACAGAGCUCGAGGCUGGUAGAUAAGCGUUGGUCCUUGUUAGGCGCUGUUAAGCUCGAGACAGCAGUCCGGCCUAUAGGACGAGAGAGACAUGGGGUGGCACACGUUAG